rnacentral:lncRNA from 1 species
GUUAGGGUCUAUAGGGAGAAUAUAACUAGACCAGAGUUAUAGUUAGGGCCUAUAGGGAAGAUAUAACUAGACCAGGACCAAAGUUAUAGUUAGGGCCUAUAGGGAGGAUAUAACUAGACCAGAGAUAUAGUUAGGGUCUAUAGGGAGAAUAUAACUAGACCAGAGUUAUAGUUAGGGCCUAUAGGGAGGAUAUAACUAGACCAGGACCAGAGUUAUAGUUAGGGCCUAUAGGGAGGAUAUAACUAGACCAGAGUUACAGUUAGGGCCUAUAGGGAGGAUAUAACUAGACCAGGACCAGAGGUAUAGUUAAGGCCUAUAGGGAGGAUAUAACUAGACCAGGACCAGAGUUAUAGUUAGGGCCUAUAGGGAGAAUAUAACUAGACCAGGACCAGAGUUAAAGUUAGGGCCUAUAGGGAGGAUAUAACUAGAACAUGACCAGAGUUAUAGUUAGGGUCUAUAGGGAGAAUAUAACUAGACCAGAGUUAUAGUUAGGGCCUAUAGGGAGGAUAUAACUAGACCAGGACCAAAGUUAUAGUUAGGGCCUAUAGAGAGGAUAUAACUAGACCAGAGAUAUAGUUAGGGCCUAUAUGGAGGAUAUAACUAGACCAGGACCAGAGUUAUAGUUGGGGCCUAUGGGGAGGAUAUAACUAGACCAGGACCAGAGUUAUGGUUGGGGUCUAUAGGGAGAAUAUAACUGGACCAGGACCAGAGCUAUAGUUAGGGUCUAUAGGGAGAAUAUAACUAGACCAGGACCAGAGUUAUAGUUAGGGCCUAUCGUGAGAAUAUAACUAGAACAGAGUUAUAGUUGGUGCCUAUAGGGAGGAUAUAACUAGACCAGGACCCAGAGUUAUAGUUGGGGCCUAUAGGGAGGAUAUAACU